ensembl:lncRNA
CUUCCUUUGGGCACUUGGAUUUUGUCCCUAUUUUUCUCCCCUCCUUUCUUUUUUUCCCUCCUUUCUUUUUUUACCUCAUUUUUUAUUUCCUCAUUUUCCUCCCUCCUUUCUUCUUUUCCCUCCUUUCUUUCCUUCCCUUUCUUUCUCCCCCCAUUUCUUUUUUCCCCUCCUUUCUUUUUCUCCCCUCCUUUCUUUUUCUCCCCUCCUUUCUUUUUCUCCCCUCCUUUCUUUUUCUCCCCUCCUUUCUUUUUCUCCCCUCCUUUCUUCUUCUCCCUUUCUUUUCUUCCCUCCUUUCUUUUCUUCCCUCCUUUCUUUUCUUCCCUCCUUUCUUUUCUUCCCUCCUUUCUUUUCUUCCCUUUCUUUUCCCUCCUUUCUUCUUUUCUCCCCUUUCUUUUUUUCCCUCAUUUUUCCCCCUUCUUUUCCCCCUCCUUUCUUCUUUUUCCUCCUUUCUUCCCCCCCUUUCUUUUCUUCCUUUUCUUUUCCCUCCUUUUCUUUUCUCUUCCUUUCUUUUUUCUCUCCUUUUCCCCCCUUUCUUCUUUUCCCUCCUUUCUUUUCUCCCCUUUCUUUUUCCCCUCAUUUUCCCCCCCUUCUUUUCCCCCCUCCUUUCUUCUUCUCCCUCCUUUCUUUUCUUCCCUUUCUUCUUCUCCCUCCUUUCUUUUUUUCCUCCUUUCUUUUUCUUCCCCCUUUUCUUUUUCCUCCCCUUUCUUUUUUCCUUCCUUUCUUUUUUCCCUUGUUUUUUCCCCCUCCUUUCUUCUUUUCCCUCCUUUCUUUUUUCCCCCUCUUCUUUUUUCCCCCUUUUUUUCCCCUUCCUUUCUUCUUUUCCCUCCUUUCUUUUCUUCCCUCAUUUCUUUUCUUCCCUUUCUUUUUACCCCUUUCUUCUUUUCCCUCCUUUCUUUCCCCCCUUCUUUUUUCCCUCCUGUCUUUCCCCCCACUUUUUUCACUCCUUUCUUUUUUUCCCCCAUUUCUCCCCCCUCAUUUUUUCCCCUCUUCCCCCCCUCCUUUCUUCUUUUCCCUCCUUUCUUUUCUUCCCUUUCUUUUUCCCCUCCUUCCUUUUUUCCCUCUCCUUUUCCCCCUGUUUUUUUUCCCUCCUUUCUUUCCUUCCCCUCUUUUUUCCUCCCCCCUUUUCCCCCUCUUGUUUUCCCCUCCUUGGGCUGUUCAGAGCUGUUGGAUACCCUUGAAAUCCUUGGAAUGGGUCCCAGUUUUUAGGGGAAAAUCCACAUCCACGUCCCUGCUGCCACCCUUAAACCAGGACUGGCCUGGAAAGCUGAGCUUAGGGAUGUUUGCCCUGGGAAAACCCACUCAGACUGGGCCUAAAAUCUGAGAUUUUGCCUAAAACCAGCCAGUUUUUGGGGUCAAACCAGGUGUUUCCCCCAGAAAGGUAAAAACCAGUGUGUGCUCCUGAGCCUGUGUCCCAGACUAACCUCCCCAGCCUGGAUUAGUGGGUCAGUGAGUAACUCAGAGCAGGUUUUGGGGGCCUCUUGGGCCUGGCUUUGGCCUGGCAGGGGCAGAUCCGGGCCUGGCCCAGGGACAGCGGAGCUUUCCCAGCGGGAAAACGGGGGGGAACUUGGGCCUGGGCUGGGCAGGGACUGGGAACCAGCGGGGUCUGAAAGGGGGUUGGGGUUACUCCUGGUCACAGGGGUGGUUAAAGCUGAGCCUAAACCAAAACGGGGGGUUAAAGCUGAGCCUAAACCAAAAUGGGG